rnacentral:rRNA from 1 species
GUCGAGCGGACUGAUUAAAAGCUUGCUUUUAUGAAGUCAGCGGCGGACGGGUGAGUAACACGUGGGCAACCUGCCUGUAAGACUGGGAUAACUUCGGGAAACCGGAGCUAAUACCGGAUAAUACUAGGAACCUCCUGGUUCCUUGUUGAAAGAUGGUUUCGGCUAUCACUUACAGAUGGGCCCGCGGCGCAUUAGCUAGUUGGUGAGGUAACGGCUCACCAAGGCGACGAUGCGUAGCCGACCUGAGAGGGUGAUCGGCCACACUGGGACUGAGACACGGCCCAGACUCCUACGGGAGGCAGCAGUAGGGAAUCUUCCACAAUGGACGAAAGUCUGAUGGAGCAACGCCGCGUGAGCGAUGAAGGCCUUCGGGUCGUAAAGCUCUGUUGUUAGGGAAGAACAAGUGCGAGAGUAACUGCUCGCACCUUGACGGUACCUAACCAGAAAGCCACGGCUAACUACGUGCCAGCAGCCGCGGUAAUACGUAGGUGGCAAGCGUUGUCCGGAAUUAUUGGGCGU